UGGGACUUCAAACACACAAAAAUAUCAUCCACAACAGCCCCGCCAAACCAGUGCAUCAGCAGUAGUUUAGUUCAUUUCUUGUACUUCUUAGAAUGGCUUCUAUGGCCUUCAAAAAUCAAAACCGAUUACACAAGAAUAUUAGAGGGUUCUUGUUACUUGUUCUAUACCCUUGUUUUUACCGUUUGUUCAAUUGCAUGGAAGCUGAAGUAUGAACAUGGAACCUCGUGACUGAAGUAUAGACACACAUUGUCUCCAUGAAACUGGUACCAUAUACCAUAAAUGCUCCUAUUAGAAGCCUCACUGUAAAGGUAUGAACCAAAGCAUAUGCUCUCAAGUAUUUGGUGUGGUCAACUUUGGAAGGUCUUGAAGGUAAGCCAACUAAUGUUGAAAUUGACUUGGAAAAGGAAUGAGGUAGGUUCAAUGUAGGAACCAAAAGGAGGUAGGUGGCAAUUCAAAGUCAAGCUACCAAUAAAUUAAACACCAAAUCACCUAACUUCAGAAUAGCAUUGAUAACCCACUUGCUAACCAUUAGGCACAUUGAUAACCAACUUGUUAAAUAAAAAUCUUCCACGGUUACACAAAAUCCCUUUCAAAAUUUGACAGUUUGCGGUCCAGACAAAAUAACUAUGCAAAGGGUUCACCAAUUUGACAUUCCAGUUCACAUAAAUGAGCAUCAACAAUCACCAUGAGGCCUAAACACAUUCUCUCUCUGUAAUGGAUCCUCAAACCAAUAAUAUGUAACAGUGUGUUAAACAUUUCAAGUAUAAAUAGCAAUUUUCUUUUUGUAGUAAAUAAUAUGGUCUGCCAAAGGAUACAGUAAACAAUGAUAUACAUAACAAAACUGCCCGUGUAUUAAAAAUAAUGAAUAAUAGAAAAUACCUGUGAAUACAAGAAGGUUCCAAGGAUAGCAAUGGCGGCACCAAGAGCAUUGAUGGGUUGAACUGGUGUGUGGAAGAUAAUAAUGGAA